GCCACGAUGGUGACACCCAGAAAUGGUUUCUAUUUUUGGGGGAAGAUGCGGCUAGAACAACAACACAAAGUAUGGCAAUGAUAAUCUCAGAUGGUGAUGAUGUUUAAGAAGAUUCCAAACAGAAUGUUGUGCCAUAUGGGAAAAAAGAAAGAAAUUCACAUCAGCAGCAUCUUCCUGCAGCGCAGUUCCCGGGUCCGACUCCUCAGCUUCCACACAGCGUGAGCAUUUCAUUAACAGAGGGGAGUCUUGUGUCUAACUUAUGGUCAAUGACUCUGUAAUUAUAUUAAUUAGCCUGAAAUCUGCCAUGUAAAGAAACCCUGAGGGAUACAUGAAAGACAGAAUCCUGUGUUCUCUGUGGCCAACAUGGCGUCAGCCCCAAAUGCAGUCAGUUAGGCCUUAUCUCACGCUCAUAGAGAGGAGCUAAUGGUCAAGGCUGGAGGAUGAGGUUUUUGUAAAAUGGACGGAGCAAUUAACGCCUGCCAGUACUCAUUAUCCUCCAUGUCAGUUGGUAGAGGCUGGAGGCCAGGAGGUGGAUUAGAGAGAAAAUGAAAGGAGAAUUAAAGACACUUAAUGGAUGCUGCUUUAGAUUUCUCUGCAAGUUCUAUUAACCCUAAUUUAAAUCAAUUUUCUCCUUUCUGCAAUUCUGUGCUAAUAAAGCUAUCUGUCUGACAGUGACUUUGUGUGUCCCAGGCGGGUACAUUUGAGAUACAUUAGCCUGGGCUCAUUUUGCUAAGUGCCCACAAAGCACACAAUGUUGUUAGCAAGCACAGACCUAGUCACUACCCAGCAUACAGGGAAUGUUCUCAGAACUUUGGCUAACAUUCUGGCAAGGUUCUCUAUAAGGUAGGAACAAGCAUUCUUCCACUUACAUUAAUAGAACAUUCAUUCAGUUAUCUGGUCUUUAAUAUUGUUCUUAUCUUAUUAUUGUUCUUAAUAUGAUACAAAUAAAUGUACAUUUAUAAUGAAGUUUUUAAAAAAUGUUUUAUAUGUGUCUGUUUCCUUCAUGUCGUUCUCCAUCCCUAAUACCUUCGUUCAUCUUCGGAACACAAAUUAAGAUAUUUCUGAUUAAAUCCGACGGCUCAGCGAGGCCUGUAUAGACAGCAAUGGUUCUUCCUCUCUCAAGAUCCAUAAAGAUAUACAACCCUGAGAGAUUCAUCAUCAAGCUGGAAUUUCAUCACCAGACCCCUCUUUGAUAUAUUGCUGGAUCUAUCCAAUUGCGUGUUUGUGUGUUCAAGCAGAGAGAUAAUCAUUUGAAGGUAAAUAUGUUUAUUAUAACUUGUCUGUCAUGAGGAUUCAGUGCAAAGGCGAGAUCAAUAAGUAUGUUGGCGUUGCCUGACGUUAGUAAGCCGGAUAUUUGUAAUUUGCUGUCUUUCAUUGCAAGAGAAAAAAAUGUCACUUUUCUCUAACAGCCACUCGAGUGUAUCAUG